UGGGGAAUAUUGCACAAUGGAGGGAACUCUGAUGCAGCGACGCCGCGUGAACGAAGAAGGCUUUCGAGUCGUAAAGUUCUUUUAUAUGGGAAGAUAAUGACGGUACCAUAAGAAAAAGCCCCGGCUAACUACGUGCCAGCAGCCGCGGUAAUACGUAGGGGGCUAGCGUUGUCCGGAAUCACUGGGCGUAAAGAGCGCGUAGGCGGUAUGGUAAGUCUGUCUUAGAAGUGCGGGGCUUAACCCCGUGAGGGGACAGAGACUGUCAUACUGGAGUCUCGGAGAGGAAAGCGGAAUUCCUAGUGUAGCGGUGAAAUGCGUAGAGAUUAGGAAGAACACCGGUGGCGAAGGCGGCUUUCUGGACGAGCACUGACGCUGAGGCGCGAAAGCGUGGGGAGCGAACAGG
rnacentral:rRNA from 1 species